AUUGCUUAUGUGACUAUUAACUAUGGUUCUCUUGUGGGGGCUGUGGGAGUCCGUUAGGCAGGGGCCAGAGUUCCAGGAGCAUGAGGGUACGCCUACUGUGUAAUGAAGGUGAAUUAUGACCAUCGGGGUUCACACCUCAGCUCGACUGGAGACUGGAGACCAGCCUGCAAUUCCACACACAAGUGGGUGAAAACAUUUGUUACAAGUAUACCCAUCAUCAAUAUUUUCCUGGCCAAGGGUCAUUUGGCUAUCAGACUAAAUAUACUUUAUGCUUAAGUGAUGCAAUUAUGAAUUCUGUGAAUGCUACACUUUUGAUGGAUCAACAUUUCCUUGAGAGUGGCUUGAAAAGUAUUGGAGUUGUCUAUGAAUAGCCUUUGUGACCUGCACCAUCUGAUUGUAUUUCUGGUGAAGAAAUGUUCAGCUGGAGCACUCUGAUGAAAUCAUCAGCCAUAGUUCUGCAUUAGAAGAAAUCACUUCUCCUCACACAUUUUUAAGUUGGGGAAAAUAAGACUGCUGAGAAGAUAUAAAGUUUAUGAUUUGAAUACAAGAUCAGAUCUGUCACCAAAUUUCAUGCAAUAAAGAGUCUGAACACACCAAAGGACAAAAACUAAGUUGUUACUGAAUACUGGACACUGCACAGAAGCCACGCCCCACUGCAACACAUUCUAAAUCAACACAGAAGAUUAACCUCUUGCAAAUUUAAUGGGUAAAGUGAAUAUUUAACUGAAGAGCUGCAACACAACGAAGAGUAGAGUUUGUGGACUGUAUCCAUCCAUUCUCUGUUUUUACUAAGGCUUUUGGCCACAGACAAUGGCUUUAUGUUGACAUUUUCUAUUGGAAAGAAUCAAAUCUGAAGAGACGUAUAAAAGGUGGGAAACCAAUAAAUCAGUGAUGCAUACUAACCCAAGUAUUCAAUUUG